ACCGACUCUGUAGUGUGGUUAAACCCUUCCCCCAUGAAUUUCACCUGCUCUGCCCUCCUGUUGCUGUUUCAGGUGACUUACAGAGUGUGUUGGUUGCAUGGAUUUCCAUGAUGCAUCACAAGCUCUGUCUCCUUCCUAACAUGGCUGCAGCGAAGUGAAAUCCGUCUGCUGGUUUGCAGUUAACAGAAGGACGUCAGAACAAUGAAAGGAAGAAAUUAGAAGUCCUUGAGGAUAGACAUACAAGGAAGUACACCUUUGCAUCAUGGGAAGAAACCAGCAGCAAAACCCAUUGCCCUGAGCUCAACUUGGAUCGCACCAGACCAAGUUGUAAUGAUCUUAUUAGUCAUAAAGCUUUUUAAAAAUUAUAAUUGCACGUAUAAUACAAAAUUUUAAGCAAUGAA